rnacentral:rRNA from 1 species
ACCAGGGCUACACACGUGCUACAAUGGCGCAUACAAAGAGAAGCGACCUCGCGAGAGCAAGCGGAUCUCAUAAAGUGCGUCGUAGUCCGGAUUGGAGUCUGCAACUCGACUCCAUGAAGUCGGAAUCGCUAGUAAUCGUGGAUCAGAAUGCCACGGUGAAUACGUUCCCGGGCCUUGUACACACCGCCCGUCACACCAUGGGAGUGGGUUGCAAAAGAAGUAGGUAGCUUAACCUUCGGGAGGGCGCUUACCACUUUGUGAUUCAUGACUGGGGUGAAGUCGUAACAAGGUAACCGUAGGGGAACCUGCGGUUGGAUCACCUCCUUACCUUAAAGAAGC